rnacentral:lncRNA from 1 species
UUUUUGAGGUCAAACGGAUUGAUUGUGAAGACUAAAGGGGUGGUUUGAAAAGAAAGACGAAAUAGGAUGGUUUAGGGUGGUGUCUGGGUGGUCUACGAGGGUUGUAUCUUCUUCGAAAUGAAGAAGAUGAAGCAGAGAACAGGCGUUGCUCACUGCUGGUCGACGAAGGACGGGAGGGUCUCUAUUUCUGGUGGAAACAAGAGGAGAUCAGCGAACGGUAGGGUCGUUUGGUCGAGCUGGAACUGGACGACGUUGUUGGGCUCGAUGUGACGACGUGUUGGUUGUGAGAUUGGGCAGCUUGAGGUCGUUCAUGGCUGUGACGACAAUGAGGGCAGUAACGACUAUUGCGUCGUUGAUUCAGGGAAGACGAUGGUGGUGUUGCUGGUUGUCUAUGGUGAGGGACGAUGGGGAAGGGGGAGGCAGCGGCUGGGCUAGGGUUCCGCUAGGCUUAGGG